rnacentral:rRNA from 1 species
UACAGAGGGUGCGAGCGUUAAUCGGAAUUACUGGGCGUAAAGCGCACGUAGGCGGAUCUUUAAGUCAGGGGUGAAAUCCCGAGGCUCAACCUCGGAACUGCCUUUGAUACUGGGGAUCUCGAGUCCGGGAGAGGUGAGUGGAACUGCGAGUGUAGAGGUGAAAUUCGUAGAUAUUCGCAAGAACACCAGUGGCGAAGGCGGCUCACUGGCCCGGAACUGACGCUGAGGUGCGAAAGCGUGGGGAGCAAACAGG